UAGGGAAUAUUGGGCAAUGGGUGCAAGCCUGACCCAGCCAUGCCGCGUGCCGGAAGACGGCCCUAUGGGUUGUCAACGGCUUUUAUACAGGAACAAAAACAGGGAUGCGUCCUUGACUGAGGGUACUGUAUGAAUCAGCACCGGCUAACUCCGGGCCAGCAGCCGCGGUAAUACGGAGGGUGCAAGCGUUGUCCGGAUUUAUUGGGGUUAUAGGGUACGUAGGCGGGCUAUUAAGUCUGGGGUGAAAGCAUUCGGCUGAACCGGAAAAUUGCCCUCGAUACUGGUAGUCUUGAGUACAGUAGAGGUGGGCGGAAUUCAUGGUGUAGCGGUGAAAUGCAUAGAUACCAUGAGGAACACCGAUAGGGAAGCCAGCUCACUAGACUGUCACUGACGCUGAGGUACGAAAGCGUGGGGAGCGAACAGGAUUAGAUACCCCCGUAGUCC
rnacentral:rRNA from 1 species